rnacentral:rRNA from 1 species
UGCAGUCGAGCGGAGAUUACAGGCGGAAGUUUUCGGAUGGAAGCUUGUAAACUUAGUGGCGGACGGGUGAGUAACACGUGAGCAACCUGCCUAUCAGAGGGGGAUAACGAUUGGAAACGAUCGCUAAUACCGCAUGACAUAGCGGAACCGCAUGGUUCUGUUAUCAAAGAUUUAUCGCUGAUAGAUGGGCUCGCGUCCGAUUAGAUAGUUGGUGGGGUAACGGCCUACCAAGUCGACGAUCGGUAGCCGGACUGAGAGGUCGAACGGCCACAUUGGGACUGAGACACGGCCCAGACUCCUACGGGAGGCAGCAGUGGGGGAUAUUGCACAAUGGGGGAAACCCUGAUGCAGCGACGCCGCGUGAGGGAAGACGGUCCUCUGGAUUGUAAACCUCUGUCUUCGGGGACGAAACGAGACGGUACCCGAGGAGGAAGCCACGGCUAACUACGUGCCAGCAGCCGCGGUAAUACGUAGGUGGCAAGCGUUGUCCGGAAUUACUGGGUGUAAAGGGAGCGUAGGCGGGCAGGCAAGUCAGGCGUGAAAUAUAUCGGCUCAACCGGUAACGGCGCUUGAAACUGCAGGUCUUGAGUGAAGUAGAGGUUGGCGGAAUUCCUAGUGUAGCGGUGAAAUGCGUAGAUAUUAGGAGGAACACCAGUGGCGAAGGCGGCCAACUGGGCUUUUACUGACGCUGAGGCUCGAAAGUGUGGGGAGCAAACAGGAUUAG